GGUUUUAUUAAACAUAUAUUUGAGUCCUGAUACCGAUACAAAAUGGCGGCUGCUCGGCUAAUCUUCGGCGCCUUUUUUGGCAACUGAAAUGCAAUUUACCAUCUGAUAAAGUUUGACCCGGACAGGUCCAUAUAAACUGCGCGCGCACACUAAAUUGAUAAAAAAAAAUAUUUCCUAGAUAGAUACAGCCUUUUUAGUGUAAAGUUGAUCUCCAUAUGUCAAUUGGUGUAUGCUUGACAACUUUUUGUUUAUGACGCUUAAAGUUUGUCUGAAUCACCACUAUGGAAUCGUUGAAAAUAUUGCAGAGCUCUUUUGAAGAGUCUACUUUAUCACAAACACAAUUAUUUGAGUGGCACCAAACAUUCAGUGAAGUCGUCGAAAGCCUGAUUUACCAUCUCCACCUACUGUUAAUAACGAUAAUAUCAAAAAAGUUAGAGAAACAGUGAUUGAAACUCAGAGGAUCUCAACAGCUCUUAAGGAUCGAUUCAAGACGUUUUGGUUAAUGUUUUGGAUAUGAAGCGUGUCAAUGUUAGACUCCUGACAAAAGAGCUGAAAGUAGACAUCUCAAAAGAGAUGCUUGACAACGUAGCUGAAGACUUUAUAUUCAUCAAAUGCAACAUUACUCGUGCCGAGACUUAGCAGUUCCAAAAUUUACCGAAUGGCAUUCUAAGAGUGAGCCGAAAUGAAAAGAAAAAAGAAUUCGCUGAAGGCACUGAAGACCCUCCCAGCCUUAUGACAAGUGUAUGGAAAGUUGAACUAAGCGUUAGCAUGUUUGU